CCGGAAUGCAAGUUGCGGAAGCGCACCCCAAAAGGGUGUCGGGGCUUCUCCCGUUU
rnacentral:tRNA from 1 species